rnacentral:rRNA from 1 species
UACGGAGGGUGCAAGCGUUAUCCGGAAUCACUGGGCGUAAAGGGCGCGUAGGUGGUCUGUUAAGUCUGGCGUUAAAGCCUGGGGCUCAACCCCAGAUCAGCGUUGGAUACUGGCAGGCUAGACGGUUGGAGAGGCGAGUGGAAUUACCAGUGUAGCGGUGGAAUGCGUAGAUACUGGUAGGAACACCCAUUGCGAAGGCAGCUCGCUGGACAACACGUGACACUGAGGCGCGGAAGUGUGGGGAGCAAACCGGAUUAGAUACCCG